rnacentral:rRNA from 1 species
GUUGGUGAGGUAAGGGCUCACCAAGGCGACGAUCAGUAGCCGGCCUGAGAGGGUGAACGGCCACACUGGAACUGAGACACGGUCCAGACUCCUACGGGAGGCAGCAGUGGGGAAUAUUGCACAAUGGAGGGAACUCUGAUGCAGCGACGCCGCGUGAGUGAAGAAGGUCUUCGGAUCGUAAAACUCUGUCCUUGGUGAAGAAAAGGACGGUAGCCAAGGAGGAAGCCCCGGCUAACUACGUGCCAGCAGCCGCGGUAAUACGUAGGGGGCGAGCGUUGUCCGGAUUUACUGGGCGUAAAGGGUGAGUAGGCGGUUAUAUAUGUCAGGUGUAAAAAGCUAUGGCUUAACCAUAGUAAGCACUUGAAACUGUAUGACUUGAGUGCAGGAGAGGUAAGCGGAAUUCCUAGUGUAGCGGUGAAAUGCGUAGAUAUUAGGAGGAACACCGGUGGCGAAGGCGGCUUACUGGACUGUAACUGACGCUGAGUCACGAAAGCGUGGGUAGCAAACAGGAUUAGAUACCCUGGUAGUCCACGCUGUAAACGAUGAGUGCUAGGUGUUGGGUAGCGAUAUUCAGUGCCGGAGUAAACACAAUAA